CAGCCUAAAAAAUAUUAAGAUACUUUAACGAAACAAUCUAUAAAUUAUUUAGCUUGACUUACCAAUAUUGUCAGGUGACAAUAUCUUGGAAUGAUAAUAUCCACCGUUAGUGAUUGCGAAUAGCGAAAGAAGAAGUAAAACUGCGGUCUGUAUAGUUAAAAAAAUAUUACCUCGAACGAAGAGUGACCGUGUUUGAAGACCGAACCAGGUGAAGUAACAGGUUCUCAGUGAAUGUGGAGAUGAGCGUGAGUUUGAAUACGAGGAAAACCCCACCUUCUAUAACCUUCAGUCCCAGUUUGAAUUUUGCCUACGCGUGCCCCUGACGAUCCUUCGAUGGGUCUCGCCUACGCUAGACCACUUCCAAUGUAAAUUACUUCAGAAGAUCAUCUUUUUCUUCGAAUAAGCAAAAAAACACUCCGAAAAAUAUUAUCUCAAGUUCAUCCAACAUAAUCGGGAGCUAUUUACUUUGCUAAUUAACGAGAUGCAAGAAAAACAAUCAGCAAUAACUCCAUCUUUAUCCUAAUAAAAAUGACAUAUUUCCUUUUUAUUUUUAUUGGUACAUGAUAUAUCUCGUUACAAAAUUUUCUUCUAAUCAAAUAUAAAUAUAUCGAUCGUAUAAAUUAAUAAAUAACAUCCUAACAAA